GAUGAAGAACGUAGCGAAAUGCGAUAAGUAAUGUGAAUUGCAGAAUUCAGUGAAUCAUCGAAUCUUUGAACGCACAUUGCGCCCGCCAGUAUUCUGGCGGGCAUGCCUGUCUGAGCGUCAUUUCAACCCUCAUGCCCCUAGGGCGUGGUGUUGGGGAUCGGCCAAAGCCCGCGAGGGACGGCCGGCCCCUAAAUCUAGUGGCGGACCCGUCGUGGCCUCCUCUGCGAAGUAGUGAUAUUCCGCAUCGGAGAGCGAUGAGCCCCUGCCGUUAAACCCCCAACUUUCCAAGGUUGACCUCAGAUCAGGUAUGAAUACCCGCUGAACUUAAGCAUAUCAAUAAGCGGAGGA
rnacentral:misc_RNA from 1 species